AUGAACGCUGGCGGCGUGCCUAAUACAUGCAAGUCGAGCGAACAGACGAGGAGCUUGCUCCUCUGACGUUAGCGGCGGACGGGUGAGUAACACGUGGAUAACCUACCUAUAAGACUGGGAUAACUUCGGGAAACCGGAGCUAAUACCGGAUAAUAUAUUGAACCGCAUGGUUCAAUAGUGAAAGACGGUUUUGCUGUCACUUAUAGAUGGAUCCGCGCCGCAUUAGCUAGUUGGUAAGGUAACGGCUUACCAAGGCAACGAUGCGUAGCCGACCUGAGAGGGUGAUCGGCCACACUGGAACUGAGACACGGUCCAGACUCCUACGGGAGGCAGCAGUAGGGAAUCUUCCGCAAUGGGCGAAAGCCUGACGGAGCAACGCCGCGUGAGUGAUGAAGGUCUUCGGAUCGUAAAACUCUGUUAUUAGGGAAGAAGAAAUGUGUAAGUAACUAUGCACGUCUUGACGGUACCUAAUCAGAAAGCCACGGCUAACUACGUG
rnacentral:rRNA from 1 species